GUGCUGAUGAAGGGUCCCAUACUAGGACGAAACAGCUGUCUAGUAC
rnacentral:hammerhead_ribozyme from 1 species